GCAGCUGAGCAGAAAAUAUAUGAGGGAACAUCUACAUCGAAAUUAUGGCAUUCCAUACAAAUAAAAAUCCAAUGGGAUCAAGUUCUUAGCAGUCCCAGCCCAGUCAGAAGUACCAAGUCAACUACCAUUUACACAUCACCAAGAGUUACAAUCUGAUGAGGAACAGGAUAUAUGAACUCAAAACUUGUAAGGUUCCGCAGGCAGUUUGAGUAUCACCAGGGCAGACUAUAAGAAGAAAUAUGGAGGCCAAGUUCAUAACAAGUAGUUAC